rnacentral:rRNA from 1 species
UACGUAGGGAGUAAGCGUUGUCCGGAAUCAUUGGGCGUAAAGCGCGCGUAGGCGGCCCCGUAAGUCCGCUGUGAAAGUCAAAGGCUCAACCUUUGAAAGCCGGUGGAUACUGUGGGGCUAGAGUACGGAAGAGGCGAGUGGAAUUCCUGGUGUAGCGGUGGAAUGCGCAGAUAUCAGGAGGAACACCAAUAGCGAAGGCAGCUCGCUGGGACGUUACUGACGCUGAGGCGCGAAAGCGUGGGGAGCGAACAGG